GGGGGCGUAGCUCAAACGGUAGAGCUCUCGCUUAGCAUGCGAGAAGUACGUGGAUCGCGAUACCCCGCGGCUUCU